AGGCUAACGAGUAAAGAAAAAGAGUAAUGCUGAUGAGAAAACAAUUUGGGGGCAACCGUAAAAUCUUGAGCUUCUUAAACCCUUUCUCCCCAAACAUGAAUUUCAAAGAUUCUCGCCACCAUCCACCGCUCUCAUCAAUGUUUCACUUCUUAAUCAACAUCAACUUUCAAAUAUAGCUCUCUCUCUCUCUCUUCCGAUAAUUUCAUUCUCUUCUUUUUUUCUGCAGAGUACCUCAUUCACUUAGUUCCCUUGAUGUUCCCAAUUGUGAUUCGGGUUCCAUUCACUUCAUUUCUAUAUUCUCACACAAAUGAGAAAAAAAAAUUAACAGGCUCUUCUAUCCAGACAUUUUCGGGCUAUCGGCGGCUUCUUGAAGGAGACACAGAAGAUUUGAGAAUAUGUCUGGAUGCAAUAAAUCACCCAAAAAUGGUCAACAAUCAUUCAAAUAUUGGCGGAUUCAACACGGAGGGGCAUCCUCUGAGGCCGUUCUUUCUUGUGUAGAUUAUUCGCCAUCUCUUUCCACCAAUGAGAACAAGCAAUGCUAUGGAAGUUCUCAACCAAAGUCCCCUCAGAUACUGAGCACAUCUCAGCUCAUCUCGGCUAUAGGCCUGAUAUGGGAUUCUGCCAGUCGCCCGCUUUCGGUUUUACUUUCGAAGGAAACUGUGAAUCAGGAUGAUAAAGGAUUCCAGAAAGAGAAAAUUCUGGAUAGCGUUGAUGAGAGAAAAAAUGAUUUGGUAUAUGCUUCAACCGACAUUAAGUACUAUCCUGUUACUGAGGGAGGUGCACAGAUUGUGCAGGGAAAAUUGGAUUUCCCUAAGGUAAUGCAGAAGAUAUCAGUACUUGACUCUUCUAAUGAAAGUCAAGAUUAUAUUGAUUCUUUAUUCAAGAGGUGUUUGCUGGCUAGUGAUAAAACUACAAAUAAAGAUUGGAAAGAAAUGGAACUUAGGAGGGAGGAAAUGUCUUGUAAAUCAGGAAAUGUAUAUUGGUGGGUAGGUAGGAAUAUUACUAAGGCGCUAAAUUGUCAAGUGGAUGUUGCCCAACCUGAGAUCCCGGAAUCUAAUGCUCCAGUUGCUGGGGGUAACAUUUCAGUAGAUACAAGCACCCCUGCAUUGGCUAAUGAGAGUGACGUGUCUAGUCCUAAUUCAAUCACACAUGAAACUCAAUCAUUAUAUAAUGCUGCAACUCUGAACACAAGAAUAGUUAGCCCUCUUUGUUCAGACUAUUUUCUUCAAGCUGUGCCUGAUACUUGUCAGAUCCUUUCUUCUAGUAUCUGUGCGGACUAUCAUAUUAACUCUCUAGCUUCAUAUAAUAGUGCUUCUAAUCAGUGCCAACAUGAGAUUGAUGAUAACAAAUCUCUGGAAAUCCAAAGAAGGCAUUUCUUGGAUAUAGCUGAUGAUGAACCUAAGGUUCAGACCUCUGCAACCCAUCUAAAACCUUGUAAUUACCAAGCCAAGCAAGAACAUGUUUUUUCUGGGGCGUUAGCUGGUAUAUGUGUCAGCCUUUGUCUGCAUCCUGUUGACACAAUUAAGACAGUCAUUCAAGCAUGCCGUGCUGAACACAGGUCCAUCUUUUACAUUGGGAAGUCAAUUGUUUCUGAUAGAGGUUUGCUUGGACUGUAUCGUGGAAUUACCACAAACAUUGCAUGUUCAGCUCCAAUUUCUGCAGUUUAUACUUUCUCCUAUGAAUCAGUUAAAGCAGCUUUGCUUCCUCAUCUUCCAAAGGAGUAUUAUUCUUUUGCCCAUUGCAUGGGAGGUGGUUGUGCAAGCAUUGCCACCUCUUUCAUUUUUACUCCCAGUGAGCGAAUAAAGCAGCAGAUGCAAGUUGGUUCUCAUUAUCGCAACUGCUGCUCUUGUAAAAUUUCUGUGUGGUUUGGUCAUGUCAAAUAUAUAUUUCCUGUCAAGAGAUGCUUGUUAUGUCUGUGGAUGUAUUGGUUGGAAUUAUCAGAAAUGGUGGUUUUUCCUCCCUAUAUGCAGGUUGGAGAGCUGUACUAUGCCGGAACGUUCCACAUUCAAUUAUCAAGUUUUACACAUAUGAAAGCUUGAAGCAAGUGAUGCCAUCUAGUAUUCAACCCAACACAUUUCAGACUUUAGUGUGUGGAGGAUUAGCUGGAUCUACGGCUGCUUUAUUCACAACCCCUUUUGAUGUGAUCAAGACUAGAUUACAGACACAGAUUCCUGGGUCUGCAAAUCAAUAUGAUAGUGUGCUCCAUGCACUUUACAAAAUUAGUAAGAGUGAAGGAUUUAAGGGCCUGUACAGGGGGUUGAUUCCGAGGUUGAUUAUGUACAUGUCUCAAGGAUCACUGUUCUUUGCUUCAUAUGAAUUUUUCAAGAGGACAUUUUCUCUGGAAGCAUCACAUCCCACUGAUUUAUGCAUUCAGGACAAUGACGGGAAUGCUGAAGAGUGAAGAACGCAAAAACUUUGAAUUAACAGGUCCAUCAUAGGGUGUUCCAGCAGCAGCUUCCCCAAGUCUUGAUAGUUUGCAUUCUUGAUAACUUGAUAGUGUGUGGAAGAAACAUUUAAUUGUGCCACAAGCUGUAAGCAGUGUCAUACUAUAGAUUUAAAGAAUAAUGUUAAAUCCUUUUGUAACAUUAUCUUACAAGUCUUCCUAUUUAUUAAGUGAAGAAUGAAUUGAAAGCAUAGUGUUUUCAAGAUU